rnacentral:lncRNA from 1 species
AAAUGUUUGUCACCAACUAAAAUAAAUUAUAUUUCAAAUGUGUUCACCAUUAUUCAAAAACAAAUUCUGCUGAUUUCUGCAUCAUGUCUAUUUAAUUUUACCAACCAUCAUAAUUGCAUCAUGCAGAAUUUCUCCGUUUUUUCUUAAGGGUCACAAAACAAAUCAUUAACAAUAGUCAUACAAAAGAAAAUGCAUUGUGAUUGUUUAACACAUAUUCUAGAUCACAUGAAAUGUAGAUUACUUCUUGAAUAUCUAUUUUGAUUUUCUAUAAUACAGGUAUAUACUAACUCUAAGGAUGCAUGAAGGUUCUACUCUAAUGUUAAAGACCAAUGCCUGAAAAUAAGGUUCUACUCUGAAGUACAGGGUUGUGUCUGACACCUACAUUUUACUCUGGAAGAAAGGAAUAUGUCUGACAACUAAGUUCUACUGUGAAGUAAAAUGUCAUGCCUGAAAGCUGGGUUCUACUCUAAAGUAACAGUUAUGCCUGACAACUAGAUUCUAUUUUGAGGUAAAAGAUUAUGCCUGACAACAUGGACAAAAAGAUUCUUCUCUCAUGACUCUGAAGAAAGGGGUUUUGUCUCACAACUAGGUUCUACUCUGAUUAGAAACGAGGUAAGUUUGAUAACUAGGUUCCACUCUGAAAUGAAAUGCUCAAUCUGAUAAUAACAAAAUGCAACUUGAUUAUUCUGUUAGGGCAGGGAAGUAUGUACUAGUACUAUUCCUGAUAGCAGCAUAACAAAAGUAUUUCUUCUCAUCUACCAUAUGAUAUACAUUGUAAUGCCAUAUGACACAAAAUGGUAACGUUAAGCAUAUACAGAGAUUAGAAAACAAGAUACUAAGCAUGUUAAGGGAAGGCAUGGGAACACAUUGCCAGAAACUUUUAACUGAAAAACUUCUAGUAUACAAACAAAC